rnacentral:rRNA from 1 species
UACGUAGGGGGCUAGCGUUGUCCGGAUUUAUUGGGCGUAAAGAGCGUGUAGGCGGCCAGGUAGGUCCGCUGUGAAAGUCCGAGGCUCAACCUCGGAAUGUCGGCGGAAACCCUCUGGCUAGAGUCCGGAAGAGGAGAGUGGAAUUCCCGGUGUAGCGGUGAAAUGCGCAGAUAUCGGGAGGAACACCGGUGGCGAAGGCGGUUCUCUGGAUCGGCCCUGACGGCUGAGGCGCGAAAGCGUGGGGAGCGAACGGG